rnacentral:rRNA from 1 species
CCUACGGGAGGCAGCAGUAAGGAAUAUUGGACAAUGGAGGCAACUCUGAUCCAGCCAUGCCGCGUGAAGGAUGAAGGCCCUAUGGGUCGUAAACUUCUUUUGUACGAGAGAAAACCUAUUUACGUGUAGAUAGUUGAUAGUAUCGUAAGAAUAAGGAUCGGCUAACUUCGUGCCAGCAGCCGCGGUAA